AUCUUUGUUUGUUUCUAUAUUGCACCUGUUCUGCCUUCAAGACUUCAUUGAAUAACCUACAUCAGUAAUGUUUAGAUCCAAAAAUUAGGUCAACCAUAGUCAAAUAAACAUAGAGCUUUGUAACCAAAACAGGUCUACAAGAGAGAUUUGUAACUUAAAGAGGUCUACAACAGAGCUUUGUAACCAAAAGAGGUCUACAAAAGAGCUUUGUAACCAAAAGAGGUCUACAAGAGCUUUGUAACCAAAAGAGGUCUACAAAAGAGCUUUGUAACCAAAAGAGGUCUACAAGAGAGUUUGUAACCAAAAGAGGUCUACAAGAGAGAUUUGUAACCAAAAGAGGUCUACAAGAGAGCUUUGUAACCAAAAGAGGUCUACAAAAGAGCUUUGUAACCAAAAGAGGUCUACAAGAGAGAUUUGUAACUAAAAGAGGUCUACAAAGAGCUUAGUAACUAAAAGAGGUCUACAAGAGAGCUUUGUAACCAAAAAAGGUCUACAAGAGAGAUCUGUAACUAAAAGAGGUCUAAAACCAUUGAAGAGAUUCUAUCCUCAAGGAAGUAGCAACCUUAGUCUGUGUAAAUUUACCAUAUUUAUCAGACAAUAGUUUAUUUAAAUGAACAUUAUAAUUCUCAGGCAAUUCCAAAACAUGUAUUAUAGGGCUGACUACUUUUGCUGUGUUACCAAACCUAGCAAAAUUUAAAAUAUCUAUCUUUAACAGUAAAAAAAAACAUAUAUUUGUUCCUUGGAGUGUUCAUAUUAAUAAAUAAAUGUCUUUUGUUUGGAAAACAAUAAAAAGGUUCAAUAACAUUAAUUCAAAGGUAAAUAUUUUAGGAGUUAAAAAAAAAAUGAAAAAGAUUAAAAAUUGUAAAGAUGCUAAUAAUCAAUGUUAAAAACAAUCAUCUUUAAUUCUGUGAUAAAAAUCUACAAGUUAUUUGGCAUAGAAAAAAAGGACUGAAAUAUAUUCCUUUGGCACACUCGUAACAAAAUUGU